rnacentral:tRNA from 1 species
GUGGCUCAGUGGUAGAGUACUUGCCUUGCAUGCAUGAGGCCCUGGGUUCUAUUCCUCAGC